CAGCCGUAAACUAUGCGCGUUAGGUGUACUGGUGACCACGAGUCACCGGGGUGCCGAAGGGAAACCGUGAAACGUGCCGCCUGGGAAGUACGGUCGCAAGGCUGAAACUUAAAGGAAUUGGCGGGGGGAGCACCACAACGGGUGGAGCCUGCGGUUUAAUUGGACUCAACGCCGGAAAUCUCACCGGAUAGGACAGACAUAUGAUAGUCGGGCUGAAGACUCUACUUGAUGAUCUGAGAGGAGGUGCAUGGCCGUCAGUGACU
rnacentral:rRNA from 1 species